rnacentral:rRNA from 1 species
UUCCGGUUGAUCCCGCCGGACCCCACUGCUAUCGAGGUGGGACUAAGCCAUGCUAGUUGAGCGCACAGAACUAUGUCUGUGAGCGGCACACUGCUCAGUAACACGUAGCUAACCUACCCUUAGGACGUGGACAACCCCGAGAAAUUGGGGCUAAUCCGCGAUAGAUGUAUUGUCCUGGAAUGGUAUUACGUCUAAAGGUAUCCCAUACAUGUUUGGUAUAUGCCUAAGGAUGGGGCUGCGGCCGAUCAGGCUGUUGGUGAGGUAAUGGCUCACCAAACCUUUGACCGGUACGGGCCAUGAGAGUGGUAGCCCGGAGAUGGACACUGAGACAAGGGUCCAGGCCCUACGGGGCGCAGCAGGCGCGAAACCUCCUCAAUGCACUUACGUGCGAAGGGGCCACCUCGAGUGCCACCUGAUGAAGGUGGCUUUUCCUAGGUCUAAAAAGCCUUGGGAAUAAGAGGGGGGCAAGACUGGUGUCAGCCGCCGCGGUAACACCAGCCCCUCGAGUGGUGGGGAUGAUUAUUGGGCCUAAAGCGUCCGUAGCCUGCCGUGUAAGUUUCCCGUUAAAUCCAGCGUCUUAAGCGUUGGACCGCGGGAAAUACUGUACGGCUAGAGAGUGGGAGAGGUCAGCGGUAUUCUGGGGGUAGGGGCGAAAUCCUUUGAUCCCCGGAGGACCACCAGUGGCGAAGGCUGCUGUCUAGAACACGUCUGACGGUCAGGGACGAAAGCUGGGGUAGCGAACCGGAUUACAUACCCGGGUAGUCCCAGCCGUAAACGAUGCAUGCUAGGUGUUGGGUUGGCCCGAGCACCCCAGUGCCGCAGGGAACCCGUUAUGCAUGCCGCUGGGAGUCCAUCGCCAGGUGAAACUUAAGGAUUGGCGGGGA